GGAAAGAUCAUGUGGUGAUUUGU
rnacentral:siRNA from 1 species